rfam:Ixodes scapularis strain Wikel colony gcontig_1108378746846, whole genome shotgun sequence.
GCCUCGGUAGCUCCGAGGCGAGAGCGCCGGCUUACGGAUCCCCAGGUGGCGGGUUUGAAUCCCGACCGAGGUG